AUUGAACGCUGGCGGAAUGCUUUACACAUGCAAGUCGAGCGGCAGCACGGGGGCAACCCUGGUGGCGAGCGGCGAACGGGUGAGUAAUACAUCGGAACAUGCCCAGUCGUGGGGGAUAACACUUCGAAAGAAGUGCUAAUACCGCAUACGUCCUGAGGGAGAAAGCGGGGGAUCUUCGGACCUCGCGCGAUUGGAGUGGCCGAUGUCAGAUUAGCUAGUUGGUGGGGUAAAGGCCUACCAAGGCAACGAUCUGUAGCUGGUCUGAGAGGAUGAUCAGCCACACUGGGACUGAGACACGGCCCAGACUACUACGGGAGGCAGCAGUGGGGAAUUUUGGACAAUGGGGGCAACCCUGAUCCAGCCAUUCCGCGUGAGUGAAGAAGGCCUUCGGGUUGUAAAGCUCUUUCGGCAGGAACGGAACGGCGAGCUCUAACAUAGCUUGCUAAUGACGGUACCUGAAGAAGAAGCACCGGCUAACUACGUGCCAGCCGCCGCUGUAAUAC
rnacentral:rRNA from 1 species